rnacentral:tmRNA from 1 species
CCCCUUUUCAAACAGGCUCCGCGGCCCUAUAUCAGGAGUGCUGUUUCGACAGCUAUGGCGAUAAACGGGAGAUGCAAUAAACCCAUCGGACCCGGGGGCAGUACCCGGCGCCUCCACCAUGACAGGCCGCGCUUGACGACCUGUGAUGCUGGGGGCGACACAGGAUCGACGAGGGCGUAAAGAUCAACUUUUUGCUCGGCAUGGUUCCGCCGUUAUCGGGCCGUUACAAUAGUUGCAAACGACAACUAUGCGGAAGCACGUCUCGCUGCUUAAUGCGGCGCGACAGCUUCGAAUAAACUCCUGACGGUUCGCACCGUCAGGCGGGGUUCGGAGGCACCUGGCAACAGAAGCCUCCACU